UGCUAGAAAGACAGAUUCUGACACAGUGUUACAAGAUCAUAGAGAGUUCCCUAUCAGAAUCUACGAUCAUUAUGGAUUUCUUUGUGUAGAAACAGAUCUACUCUCAAUACAUCUUAAUAUUGACUUUACAUGGAAACUUUUCCGCUCCAGAACGCCCAAACCAUUGCCCCAAUCUCAUUAUCCUUUUUGAUUGGCACAUCUACAUGGGUCUGUUGGAAUAUCUCUAUGGAUAAAAAAUGUUAUCAACAUCUAUUAUUUAUAUGUGUAAAGCAUGGACUUAUAUGAAUAUUCAUGCUAGUGACUAUACGAACGCUAUGACCCACAGUGGAACGCGGCGCAAGUGACUCUAUGACCCGCAGUGGAAUGCAGCGCUGAAGCCAGCUGAGAAGGAUUUCCUGUUUCCGGUAGAAUAGUUAUGGAACGCAGCGCUCUCAAACGGAUGACAUUAUUUCCGGUCAGGGAACAGGAAACGAGGAUCCUGCACCGCUGUUUCUAGUUGUACAAUUAGUAAAUCCUUUAAAAGGUUCAUUCUGUAACUGUGACCACACUUCUGAUGACGGACCCAGCGAGGUCCGAAACGCGUUAAGUGUGGUUCUGUAACUCCUGCCUGUUUGGACACUCACCGACUCUGCACUGUCACCUUGGAGAAGCUCCCACAGAUUCAGGAGCUGUGGCUGCCGAACCCUAUCCUGAGUACAUCAACAGGAGCUGUGGUGAUAUGUUUGCAAUGUUCAAGUGCUGUUGCCAUGAAAGGAGUUUUUACAUGUGACUUUUAUUCCUAUGUGUUGUAAGUGCGAUUUGUAUUAA